rnacentral:rRNA from 1 species
GACGAACGCUGGCGGCGUGCUUAACACAUGCAAGUCGAACGGAAAGGCCCUGCUUUUGUGGGGUGCUCGAGUGGCGAACGGGUGAGUAACACGUGAGUAACCUGCCCUUGACUUUGGGAUAACUUCAGGAAACUGGGGCUAAUACCGGAUAGGAGCUCCUGCUGCAUGGUGGGGGUUGGAAAGUUUCGGUGCUUGGGGAUGGACUCGCGGCUUAUCAGCUUGUUGGUGGGGUAGUGGCUUACCAAGGCUUUGACGGGUAGCCGGCCUGAGAGGGUGACCGGCCACAUUGGGACUGAGAUACGGCCCAGACUCCUACGGGAGGCAGCAGUGGGGAAUAUUGCACAAUGGGCGGAAGCCUGAUGCAGCAACGCCGCGUGCGGGAUGACGGCCUUCGGGUUGUAAACCGCUUUCGCCUGUGACGAAGCGUGAGUGACGGUAAUGGGUAAAGAAGCACCGGCUAACUACGUG